UACAGAGGGUGCAAGCGUUAAUCGGAAUUACUGGGCGUAAAGGGCGCGUAGGCGGUUAUAUAAGUGAGUUGUGAAAUCCCUGGGCUUAACCUAGGAACAGCGAAUCAUACUGUGUGACUAGAGUAUUGUAGAGGGUAGUGGAAUUUCCGGUGUAGCGGUGAAAUGCGUAGAGAUCGGAAGGAACACCAGUGGCGAAGGCGGCUACCUGGACAAAUACUGACGCUGAGGCGCGAAAGCGUGGGGAGCAAACAGG
rnacentral:rRNA from 1 species